rnacentral:rRNA from 2 species
UACGAAGGGUGCAAGCGUUACUCGGAAUUACUGGGCGUAAAGCGUGCGUAGGUGGUUCGUUAAGUCUGAUGUGAAAGCCCUGGGCUCAACCUGGGAAUGGCAUUGGAAACUGGCGGGCUAGAGUGCGGUAGAGGGUAGUGGAAUUCCCGGUGUAGCAGUGAAAUGCGUAGAGAUCGGGAGGAACAUCCGUGGCGAAGGCGACUGCCUGGACCAGCACUGACACUGAGGCACGAAAGCGUGGGGAGCAAACAGG